AGCCCGGUCGUCUAGUGGCCAAACUUACUUGAGGGCUAGGGAUUUCAGGCUCUGGAUCUAAAUGAAAAGAAACCUGAGGACAGCAGUUCGAAUCUGCUCCGGGCUA
rnacentral:tRNA from 1 species